rfam:Halobacillus sp. BBL2006 cont111, whole genome shotgun sequence.
AAAAAAAUAGGGCUGCCUUAAACAGACAGCCCUUCUUUUUUGAAUCAUUCAAUAUAAUUCAAAAAAGUAAAGGGAGAGGAGAAACCGGAGGAAGCGCUUAUGGGGAUGUAAGCCUUCUCCGUUU